rnacentral:rRNA from 1 species
UACAGAGGGGGGCAAGCGUUAUUCGGAAUUAUUGGGCGUAAAGGGCGCGUAGGCGGCCUGGCAAGUGGAAGGUGAAAUCCCUCGGCUUAACCGAGGAACUGCCCUCCAAACUGCUUGGCUUGAGUCCGGGAGAGGUGAGUGGAAUUCCCAGUGUAGCGGUGAAAUGCGUAGAUAUUGGGAGGAACACCAGUGGCGAAGGCGGCUCACUGGACCGGAACUGACGCUGAGGCGCGAAAGCGUGGGGAGCAAACAGG